rnacentral:rRNA from 1 species
AGCGAACGCUGGCGGCAGGCCUAACACAUGCAAGUCGAACGAACUCUUCGGAGUUAGUGGCGGACGGGUGAGUAGCACGUGGGAGCGUGCCUUUAGGUUCGGAAUAACUCAGGGAAACUUGUGCUAAUACCGAAUGUGCCCUUCGGGGGAAAGAUUUAUCGCCUUUAGAGCGGCCCGCGUCUGAUUAGCUAGUUGGUGAGGUAAAGGCUCACCAAGGCGACGAUCAGUAGCUGGCCUGAGAGGAUGAUCAGCCACAUUGGGACUGAGACACGGCCCAAACUCCUACGGGAGGCAGCAGUGGGGAAUCUUGCGCAAUGGGCGAAAGCCUGACGCAGCCAUGCCGCGUGAAUGACGAAGGUCUUAGGAUUGUAAAAUUCUUUCACCGGGGACGAUAAUGACGGCACCCGGAGAAGAAGCCCCGGCUAACUUCGUGCCAGCCGCCGCCGUAA